rnacentral:rRNA from 1 species
ACUGAACGCUGGCGGAAUGCUUUACACAUGCAAGUCGGGCGGCAGCGCGGGGGCAACCCUGGCGGCGAGCGGCGAACGGGUGAGUAAUACAUCGGAACGUGUCCUUGAGUGGGGGAUAGCUCGGCGAAAGCCGGAUUAAUACCGCAUAAGCUCUGAGGAGGAAAGCGGGGGACUGGUAACGGCCUCGCGCUGUUGGAGCGGCCGAUGUCGGAUUAGCUAGUUGGUGGGGUAAAGGCCCACCAAGGCGACGAUCCGUAGCUGGUCUGAGAGGAUGAUCAGCCACACUGGAACUGAGACACGGUCCAGACUCCUACGGGAGGCAGCAGUGGGGAAUUUUGGACAAUGGGGGCAACCCUGAUCCAGCCAUUCCGCGUGAGUGAAGAAGGCC